rnacentral:rRNA from 1 species
CCGACCUAAUACGUCGGGAGGAUGACGGUACCGAAAGAAUAAGCACCGGCUAACUUCGUGCCAGCAGCCGCGGUAAUACGAAGGGUGCAAGCGUUACUCGGAAUUACUGGGCGUAAAGCGUGCGUAGGUGGUUCGUUAAGUCUGCCGUGAAAGCCCCGGGCUCAACCUGGGAAUGGGCGGUGGAUACUGGCGGACUAGAGUGCGGUUGAGGGUGGUGGAACUCCCGGUGUAGCAGUGAAAUGCGUAGAGAUCGGGAGGAACAUCUGUGGCGAAGGCGGCCACCUGGACCAGCACUGACACUGAGGCACGAAAGCGUGGGGAGCAAACAGGAUUAGAUACCCUGGUAGUCCACGCCCUAAACGAUGCGGACUGGACGUUGGGCUCAAUUAGGAGCUCAGUGUCGAAGCUAACGCGUUAAGUCCGCCGCCGUGGGGAGUACGGUCGCAAGACUG